rnacentral:rRNA from 1 species
AGUGAACGCUGGCGGUAGGCCUAACACAUGCAAGUCGAACGGCAGCACAGUAAGAGCUUGCUCUUACGGGUGGCGAGUGGCGGACGGGUGAGGAAUACAUCGGAAUCUACUUUUUCGUGGGGGAUAACGUAGGGAAACUUACGCUAAUACCGCAUACGACCUACGGGUGAAAGCAGGGGAUCUUCGGACCUUGCGCGAUUGAAUGAGCCGAUGUCGGAUUAGCUAGUUGGCGGGGUAAAGGCCCACCAAGGCGACGAUCCGUAGCUGGUCUGAGAGGAUGAUCGGCCACACGGGAACUGGGACACGGUCCAGACUCCUACGGGAGGCAGCAGUGGGGAAUAUUGGACAAUGGGCGCAAGCCUGAUCCAGCCAUACCGCGUGGGUGAAGAAGGCCUUCGGGUUGUAAAGCCCUUUUGUUGGGAAAGAAAAGCAGCAGGUUAAUACCCCGCUGUUCUGACGGUACCCAAAGAAUAAGCACCGGCUAACUUCGUG